AUGUACUCUACAAGACAACACUUCAUUGCUGUAUUUGUCUAUCCUCCCAGGUUGGAUCAUACACAUGCUGAUGAGCUCUUCGAAGUACUUUUCUGCAACAUCCUCUGCAUCCAGCCCACUGUUUCUACUCACGUGCACGAACCCUUCGACUACCCAUUUCCUCAACAAAUUAUGUUUAUCUAUCUCGCGAUCCUCUGGAUACAUACAAACAUAAAGCAGACAUGUCUUAAGAUGAUCAGGAAGAUGUAUGUAGCUAAGAUCCAAUAUUUGCUUCAUCUUUUCAUGAUCAUCUCCUUCAGUCAUAGCACCCAAAGAUUUCCAUACAUACUCCCAGGUCGAGUCUGUCUUGCCAGCCAGAAGGCUUGCUAUGCUAUUAAUAGCAAGUGGCAUACCACCACAUCUAUUUAG
rnacentral:rRNA from 1 species